UAUUAGUUACUCUCACCUUCCCAUUGACCGUCCUUAUUUAAAACAUUUUUGUGAUUAAUAUUUUUAUUAUUAUUAGAUGAUAAAACAUGAAUAAUAUUUUAUGCAUGGCUUAUUUUUUUUUAUUUUUUUCAUAUUUUUUUAAAUAAGACGGACAAUCAAGCGUUGUAUAUGUAAACCACAACUACAUUUAAA
rnacentral:pre_miRNA from 1 species